rnacentral:piRNA from 1 species
UGAUGAUGUAGGAUAGUGUAGUGACCAAG